GCCAGACCAUGAUGGAGACAGCUGGUGUGUUGCUCACCCUAACACACAAGAGCACACGUUUGCUGUCCUGAGACCCUCAGGGGACCACCAAGGAAGAGGCCAGACUCCAGUGGGCAUCUCUCAGGUAGACCAUCA